rnacentral:pre_miRNA from 1 species
AAGAGGAACAACCGCAGUGGCGGGGCCAUCUCUGGAGCCCUGGAGUCAGCUCCUGCAGUAACUACAGAGGUCUCAGUCUGCAGGGGCCUGGAUGCUCUGGGGGCAG